UUUGUAUUGCUUCGUCAUAUCUAUUUGUGAGAGAGAUGAGUGACCUUCUCCUAAGGACUCCGAGUCAUUGUCCUUUCCAUCAUUACGUUCAUUAUUGAUGUGACUUCGCUUCAUGUUUGAUCUAGGUCGAUCACCACUUUUCUUCACGUAUUCAUUGUAUCGCCAUCGUUUUUAUCGUUGCUUGUGAUUCAUCUCAUUCC
rnacentral:lncRNA from 1 species